rnacentral:rRNA from 1 species
CGCGUAGGCGGAUGACACAGUCAGGCGUGAAAUUCCCGGGCUCAACCUGGGGGCUGCGCUUGAUACAUGUUGUCUUGAGUUCGGAAGAGGGUCGUGGAAUUCCCAGUGUAGAGGUGAAAUUCGUAGAUAUUGGGAAGAACACCGGUGGCGAAGGCGGCGACCCGGUCCGAUACUGACGCUGAGGCGCGAAAGCGUGGGGAGCAAACAGGAUUAGAUACCCUGGUAGUCCACGCCGUAAACGAUGUGUGCUGGAUGUUGGGCAGCCUAGCUGUUCAGUGUCGUAGCCAACGCGAUAAGCACACCGCCUGGGGAGUACGGCCGCAAGGUUGAA